AACGAACGCUGGCGGCAGGCCUAACACAUGCAAGUCGAGCGAGGACUUCGGUUCUAGCGGCGGACGGGUGAGUAACGCGUGGGAAUGUGCCCUUCUCUACGGAAUAGCCCUGGGAAACUGGGAGUAAUACCGUAUACGCCCUAUUGGGGAAAGAUUUAUCGGAGAAGGAUCAGCCCGCGUUGGAUUAGGUAGUUGGUGGGGUAAUGGCCUACCAAGCCGACGAUCCAUAGCUGGUUUGAGAGGAUGAUCAGCCACACUGGGACUGAGACACGGCCCAGACUCCUACGGGAGGCAGCAGUGGGGAAUCUUAGACAAUGGGGGCAACCCUGAUCUAGCCAUGCCGCGUGAGUGAUGAAGGCCUUAGGGUUGUAAAGCUCUUUCAGCUGGGAAGAUAAUGACGGUACCAGUAGAAGAAGCCCCGGCUAACUCCGUG
rnacentral:rRNA from 1 species